ensembl:lncRNA
UAUAUAUUUAUAGUACUGUAUUUAUAGUAUUAUCAUUAUUUUAUUAUGAUUUUUUAAAAAUAGUGAUUAUCAAUUCAAUAACUUUUUUUAUCUGUAACUUGUUAAAAUAUUAUUAUCUUAUAUCAUUAUUUUUAUUUAAAUGUGCUAAAUCAAUUUUUGUUGUUUGUGAAAAGGUAAGUGUGGCGUGUGUUUGCACAUGUGUGUGUUACAUGUAAUCCGCAUGAUGAUAAUUUCAGGUGAUAUGAUUCGGUAGCUGAAUCAGGUCAGUGAUAAUCUAAUGUUUCCCCUCAUCUGGACAAUAAAGGUCAAUGCUCGUACCUAGACAUCAGCCCCAGGACACCUACUGUACCACACUGUGUGUGUCUGUGUGUUGCAAUGGUACACCAGAGUUUUCAAACAAAAUGCUUUUGAGUUUUUUCAUAUGAUCCAUGUUAUGAAUUUUAAUGCUUUCUGCAGUCAGAUUCACCCAGUUAUGUCAACAUGUUGAAGUGCUGUUGCAACCAUCACCAUAUGUCAUCCAUCGAGCGUCUAUGUCAUUAUUAAUACUUCUAGUGUAGUUAUUUUUAUUUUUCUGACAAGGUUCAAAGUUUUGACAAAGAUGGAUGUGUAAAGUAAAAAAAAAAAAAAAAAAUCCAACCCUUUUCAUCCAGAACAUUUUUUAAAUACAUAAUAUGCUGUUAAAUAUAGGAUUAUGCUAUCAUAAUAAACCAUUAAAUCAAAUAAUAACAAAUAAACAACGGAAAAUUAUCUCUUUAAUGUUUCAGUUAAUGAUAUGGACAUAUGGCCGUUUUGAUUUUCCACACAGUUCCACUGAUACUCCCAACGCUAGUGUUUCACAAUACUUGGGUCAGGAAAAACAGAAAGAAAGCACCAUAUGAAAUCUUAAACCUACUGUAUAACCUUUGAUGUUUCUUCUGCUUCAGAGAUAAAUUACAGAUGCUGGUCGAUGGAGCGUGAGAGAAAGACAACAUCAAAACAGCCAUGUGUGUGUGUGUGUGUGUGUGUGUGUGCGUUCACCUGGUGUUGCUCUUGCUUGACUGACUCUGGAAAUCGAAGGACUCCAGGAGUUACGGUGAGCAGUCCACAGAGGGAAGAACAAACCCACACAGAUCAGAGAGCUGUGUUCCCCGGGACAGAGAGGGGUCUUCUGGGUACCGCUGAACUGACAACCCCUGGAGCAGAUACGCGGCACUCUGCACAAAUUGAACUGACAGCACUUUUUUUCCACUGAAAGUGUAAAGUCCUGAGUAGCAUAGAAUUGUGUUAUGUGGGGUUAUUUGCCUAGGCUGUUUAUACUGAGAGAAAAAAACACUCUUUUAUAAUGUUUUCAAUGGUGUUUACUCAUACUAAAAUACUGUGAACGAGUUUUCUGCAUUCAGCAGCAAUGUGACACCACUUCUAAAUCUACAGCAUGAAAUAGUGAGCGUAGUGCAGUUUGAUUCCUGAAUGAACAACUCUGGUUCUUAUUUUUUUUGUGUGAUCAGUAUAGUCCAAUUUCAAAGGAAUACAUCUUUUGAACCUGUUUUGUAAAUCAGAAAUAUACAGUGCGACUAGUACUAAAUGAAAUGACUCUUAUGAGUCUGCAAUUUUUUGUGAAUCACACUUACAGUGCAACCAGUGCACUUAAAUUCCUGAACAAAUCACUCUUAUGAAACUGUCUUUUUAGUGAAUGCAGCAGCACAGCUAGUGUCGCUCAAUUCUGAUCAAAUCCAUCUUUUAAACCAGUUUUGAAUCAGAAAUAUACAGCACAAGCAGUACAGUCUGGAUCUUGAAUGAAAUUACUCUUAUGGGUUGGCUCUUUUUAGUAAAUCACAUACAUAUAGCACGACCAGUGUAGUCUGAUUUUUGAAUGAAUCACUCUUAUGAACUGGUUCUUUUUAAUGAUGCAGCGGAGUCCAACCCCCGAACGAAUUAUGAAUCUUAUGAAUCUUUUUAAUUAAUCAAAAAGUGUAAUUCAAUUCUUAAUAAAUCUGUCUUCUGAGCCGGUUUGGUAAAUCAAAAACAAACAGUGCAACCAGUGUAGACCAGAUCCUGAAUGAAUCACUCUUAUGAGUCAUCUCUUUAGUGAAUCACAUAGUGUGACCAGUGUAGUCCGAUUCCUGAAUAAUUCACUCUUAUGUACCAGUUCUUAUUGGUGAAUCAAAAAGAUGCAGCGCAGCUAGUUUAGUCCAACUCAAGAAUGAAUGACUCUUGUGAAUCAAUUCUUUUUAUUCUUUUUAUACACAACUAGUGUAGUUCAGUUCUGAAUGAAUUUGUCUUUUGAGCCAAUUUUGUAAAUCAAAAAUAAACAGCAUGACUAGUCCAGAUCAAGCACAAAAUGACUCUUAUGAUUCAUCUCUUUAGUUAAGUG